rnacentral:misc_RNA from 1 species
GAGAGAGAGAGAGAGAGAGACUAUACUAUAAGUAGCGAUUAGGUGGUAAAAAAGAUAAAAAAAAUUUAUGAGGAUUAAAAUGAUAAAAAGAAAUAAUUAAAAAUGAGUCAAUUAACGGGAUGCUACCUACAGUAGCGAUAAACUGCAAAAAGGAUUGAUUGGACUAAAAUGUAAUUAUGUUGGAUUGAAAUUGAAAAAAAAAAUAGUGGGGCAGGCAACAGGACGCUACCCUAGGUAGUGACCAACUUCUCCUACGUGUCAGGUGGUAGUAGGUGCUAUCUAAGAUAGCGACAAUCGUUGCCUGUGCCACACAAAUUCGUUUCACGUGAAUGUGUUGUCUUGUCCUAAUCAAUGCGUGAAUGUCUUGUCUUGUCCCUCUCAGCAUGUUGGUCAGUGUGCAUGCAAGUGGACACAACCAAUAAUCGCGUCUAGCUUUUCUGACACGACUCCUCCUCGCGUGCCGUGCUUAGAACAGAGUAAGGUUGUUAGAUUUUGUGCAGACAGAAGCUUAAAUUCACUCAAACCUCUCCCAUUUUCUCUUCGGGAAAAAAAAAUUUCAAUAUCUUCUC